rnacentral:rRNA from 1 species
CCUAGCUCAGGAUGAACGCUCGCUGUGUGCCUAAUACAUGCAUGUUGAACGGGAUGUAGCAAUACAUUCAGUAGCGAAUGGGUGAGUAACACGUACCUAACCUACCUUUAAGACUGGGAUAACUAUUGGAAACAAUAGCUAAUACCGGAUAUAGUUAUUUAUCGCAUGAUGAGUAAUAGAAAGGAGCUUCACAGCUUCACUUAAAAAUAGG